CCUGGAACUUGAGCCUGGAGUUGCUCCCUCAGAUAGCUUCCUUGAGACGGUCACAUGAUUCUUACCAUUUUAUGAGGUAAUACCCCUCAUAAUCCUUCACAAUCCUCCAUAAGAUUUUGCAAAUGAGUUUAUAUUCUAAGUCAGUAUUGCCCUCGGCUGCCAGAUCGCUAUGCUUGGCAAAUGAAGAAAAUAGUUCAGAUGAGGAACUAGGAAAGUUUAAGUGA
rnacentral:lncRNA from 1 species